rnacentral:rRNA from 1 species
ACGGGUGAGUUCGCGUGGGAGCGUGCCCUCUGGUUCGGAACCUCCUGGAGGCGGGAGCUAUACCGGAUACGCCCUUUUGGGGAAAGGCUUGCUGCCGGAGGAUCGGCCCGCGUCUGAUUAGCUUGUUGGUGGGGUAACGGCCUACCAAGGCGACGAUCAGUAGCUGGUCUGAGAGGAUGAUCAGCCACACUGGGACUGAGACACGGCCCAGACUCCUACGGGAGGCAGCAGUGGGGAAUAUUGGACAAUGGGCGCGGGCGUGAUCCUUCCAUGCCGCGUGAGUGAUGAAGGCCUUAGGGUUGUAAAGCUCUUUUAUCCGGGACGAUAAUGACGGUACCGGAGGAAUAAGCCCCGGCUAACUUCGUGCCAGCAGCCGCGGGUAU